UGCCGGCGACCGGCGCAAGGGUGCGUAACGCGUGAGCAACGAUGGCCCGUAGUCAGGGGGGAUAAUCCAUGGAAACGUGGUCUAAUACCCCAUAGUAAUUAUGUAAGGCAUCUUAUAUAAUUUAAAGCUUGGUGGAUACGGAUUGGCUCGCGUGACAUUAGCUGGAUGGUAAGGUAACGGCUUACCAUGGCUACGAUGUCUAGGGGUCUGAGAGGAAGGUCCCCCCACACUGGAACUGAGACACGGUCCAGACUCCUACGGGAGGCAGCAGUGAGGAAUAUUGGACAAUGGAUGGAAAUCUGAUCCAGCCAUGCCGCGUGCAAGGAAGACGGCCCUAUGGGUUGUAAACUGCUUUUGUAUGGGAGCAAUAAGGGCUACGUGUAGUCCGAUGAGAGUACCAUACGAAUAAGCACCGGCUAACUCCGUGCCAGCCGCCGC
rnacentral:rRNA from 1 species